UACGUAGGGGGGCUAGCGUUGUCCGGAAUCAUUGGGCGUAAAGCGCGUGUAGGCGGUUCGGUAAGUCCGCUGUGAAAGUCGGGGGCUCAACCCUCGAAAGCCGGUGGAAACUGUCGGGCUAGAGUACGGAAGAGGCGAGUGGAAUUCCUGGUGUAGCGGUGAAAUGCGCAGAUAUCAGGAGGAACACCGGUGGCGAAGGCGGGUCUCUGGGCCGUAACUGGACGCUGAGGAGCGAAAGCAUGGGGGAGCGAACAGG
rnacentral:rRNA from 1 species